AGCUGUCCAGCCCUGAAUUGCCUAGAGAGCUCCAGCAGCUCAGCAUACUGCAGCAAGUGAAGAGAGAAAGGGCUUUGAAAGAUUAUGACAUUGACAACAAAGGGUUUCUUACAAGAACCUCCUCCUAAGGAUUUCAACCCAGAGUUUAAGACUUUCUGUCGAUUCUUCCCAUAGGUGAGCCAGUUAAUGUGUAAGUGAGUGCUCCAUUCAGUUGUGAGGAAGGUGAUAUUUCACCAUGGAGCAUUAAUUCUGCUUUUUUUGUUUUCUCCAACUUUCUUUACAAGAACCUGUGCUGUAUAUUCUAUAAAUUGAGGUCAUGUCUGCCUCCCAAGUUAUGUUUUUUUUCUUCAAUGAAUCUGUUUCAGAAAGAUUCUGUUUAUACAUGCUGGUUACCAAAAGAUUUUGUAUUGUGAUAACAUUAUAUUUUUUUUGUUCUCUUUCAUUAAAUAAAGCCUUGGAAUGUUAGUGACGCACAUGUUUUGCGCAAAAUCAUUAUCAACACUGCAUGGGUUUUCAUCUUCAAGUUAUAAACACAUAUGUUGGGAGUUAUACAAUAUAUAACUCACUAAGUUUGUAAUGAAUUAAAAACACAAUAGCACAAUUUUAAGCCAAAAUAGCUGAUUUGGAAAAAUUCUGCCAUCCGGCUAUAUUCACAGUUUGGCUAUUUUAGCCUGAAAGUUGGUUUUCAAUUUUGGUUUCUACUCCUUAGAGCUAUAUAGACAAUUAAAGAGACACUCUGGGCACCAAUGCAACUUCAAUGUAUCUGAUUGCUUUUGGAUUUGUUAAUUUGUUGUAUUUGUCUUGCUUGCUCAAAUCAUUAUAGUUUUUGCACAAAAAAUGUUUUGUUGAAUACUGCACUAUAGUACAGCCCCCUUAGCCACACCCCUUCACUCCAGAAAAAUGCUUCCUUAUCACAUUUGUGCACAGCACGAGUCAUGGAAAACAAUGAGUGAUCUGAAAUACAAAGCAGCCUUCAUUAGGAAAGGACACCCAGGGAAAAUUUUAGUAAGGUUACCACUACCUGUUUGUUUGUAGUUUCUAUGUCU